UACAGAGGGGGCAAGCGUUGUUCGGAAUUACUGGGCGUAAAGCGUGCGCAGGCGGCUUUGCAAGACAGAUGUGAAAUCCCCGGGCUCAACCUGGGAACUGCAUUUGUGACUGCAAGGCUGGAGUACGGCAGAGGGGGAUGGAAUUCCGCGUGUAGCAGUGAAAUGCGUAGAUAUGCGGAGGAACACCGAUGGCGAAGGCGGAUCUCUGGGCCUUACCUGACGCUCAGGUGCGAAAGCUAGGGGAGCGAACAGG
rnacentral:rRNA from 1 species